UACGAAGGGGGCUAGCGUUGCUCGGAAUCACUGGGCGUAAAGCGCACGUAGGCGGCUUAUUAAGUCAGGGGUGAAAUCCUGGAGCUCAACUCCAGAACUGCCUUUGAUACUGAUGAGCUUGAGUCCGGGAGAGGUGAGUGGAACUGCGAGUGUAGAGGUGAAAUUCGUAGAUAUUCGCAAGAACACCAGUGGCGAAGGCGGACUCACUGGCCCGGUACUGACGCUGAGGUGCGAAAGCGUGGGGAG
rnacentral:rRNA from 1 species